GAACGCCCUUAGCAAUAAGGGAGUGGCGGACGGGUGAGUAACACGUGGGUAUCUACCUUGAGGUGAGGAAUACCAGCGAGAAAUCGCUGACAAUACCGCAUAGGUUUGGAAACAAACAAAGUCGUAAGACGCCUUAAGCUGAGCCUGCGCCCGAUUAGUCAGUUGGUGGGGUAAAGGCCUACCAAAGCGACGAUCGGUAGCUGGUCUGAGAGGACGAUCAGCCACACUGGGAUUGAGAACGGCCCAGACUCCUACGGGGGGCAGCAGUGAGGAAUUUUCCGCAAUGGGCGCAAGCCUGACGGAGCAACGCCGCGUGCAGGAGGACGGCCUUCGGGUUGUAAACUGCUUUUCUUGGGGACGAGGAUGCAAGGACGGUAUCCAAGGAAGAAGCCCCGGCUAACUACGUGCCAGCA
rnacentral:rRNA from 1 species